UUUAUCUCCGGCACUCAGCAUCAAUGGAAUGGAAUCGGAGAUGCCUUCCUCCUAGGUGGGAGUGAGGAACACUCCUACUCCCCUCCCCUACUUCCAGGUCCCAUUUUCAGUGCCCAAGAUCCCCCUGGUAUUCCGAGGACACACCCAGCAGGACCCGGAAGUGCCUAAGUCUUUAGUUUCCAAUUUGCGGAUCCACUGCCCUCUGCUUGCGGGCUCUGCUCUGAUCACCUUUGAUGACCCCAAAGGUAAGCUCAUGGGGAGCCUCAGGAGGGAGGUGGGGAGGAUUCCCAGUACUGACCCUGUUUCCCACCACCCAGUGGCUGAGCAGGUGCUGCAACAAAAGGAGCACACGAUCAACAUGGAGGAGUGCCGGCUGCGGGUGCAGGUCCAGCCCUUGGAGCUGCCCAUGGUCACCACCAUCCAGGUGUCCAGCCAGUUGAGUGGCCGGAGGGUGUUGGUCACUGGAUUUCCUGCCAGCCUCAGGCUGAGUGAGGAGGAGCUGCUGGACAAGCUAGAGAUCUUCUUUGGCAAGACUAGGAAUGGAGGUGGCGAUGUGGAUGUUCGGGAGCUACUGCCAGGGAGUGUCAUGCUGGGGUU
rnacentral:sRNA from 1 species